CCCUGUAGAGUUAGAAAAUGGGUGCGCUCUUGAGUAUAAAUACUUGGAUAGAAGGAUCCUGGAGUAAUCAGUAUCUUCUCUAAACUCACACAAAAAACAUGUAUUCUCUACAGGCUUGUGUAAAUGUUUUCUUCCUUGUACUAGCGUACAUUUGUUGUACUCUUAUGGCCGCAUCUUUCAGGGUCCGGCGGCAGGAUGAGAAGCCCUACUGGUGUGACGAGACUCAGGCCGGGUUCGGGUUCAAUAAUUUCGAGGCAAUUAAGAAAAUAUGCGAAGAAGCUGGGUUCUAGAUCAAUCCAUCAAUUAAUCAUCAAAUCAAUCAUGCAAUCAAACAAUCAAUCAUUCAUAUAGAUAUGCGAGUAAGCUGGAUUCAAGAUCUAUCAAUCAAUCAUUCAAUCAAUCAAUUCAUCAAUCAUUCAUAAAGAUAUGCGAGUAAGCUGGAUUCAACAUCUAACAAUCAAUAAUUCAAUCAAUCAAUUCAUCAAUCAUUCAUAAAGAUAUGUUAAGCUGUAUUCAAAAUCUAUCAAUCAAUCAUUCAAUCAAUCAAUUCAUUAAUCCAUUAAUUAAUCAAUCAAUCAUAAUAUUCAGAUUAUUUACUGCAUAAUCAACUUAAUAAGUGUUAACAGUACAAAAUUGUAUACCACAACAUAAGCACUGUUUUUUCCAAUAAAUUUGUAUGUCUGACAA